GAUGAACGCUGGCGGUGUGCCUAAUACAUGCAAGUCGAGCGAACAGACGCGGCUCUUACUCCUCUGACGUUUGCGGCAGACGGGUGAGUAACACGUGUAUACCCUCCCUAUCAUACUGGGAUCACUUCGGGACACCGGCUCUAAUCCCGUAUAACCUCUUGAUCCGCAUUGUUCAACAGUGAAAGUCGGUCUUUCUGUCUCUUCUAGCUGGAUCUGCGUCGCUUUAGCUAGUUGUUAAUUUAACGGCUUAUCAAGGCAACGAUGCGUAGACGAACGGCGAGGGGGAUAGGCCACACGGGAAGUGAGACACGGUCAAGACUCCUAAGGGAGGCAGCAGUAGGGAAUCGUACGCAAUGGGCGAAAGCAUGACGGAGCAACGCGGCGUGAGUGAAGAAGGUGUUGGGAUCGUAAAACUGGGUUAUGAGGGAAGAACAAAUGUGGAAGUAGCUAUGCACGUAGUGACGGUAACUAAUCAGAAAGCAACGGCUAACUACGUG
rnacentral:rRNA from 1 species